CAGAGGUGAUGAACUGUCUUAGCCUGACCUUAUUGGGGGCAGAAGCCUGACUUAGUGGGCCUGGCCC
rnacentral:snoRNA from 1 species